GUCCAAACAGCCGCCAUAUUGGAAAGGACCAGAUGGCCUUUUCAAUCAGGGAUAGAGAAAGUCAUUCGUCCAAUCAGUGAACUGUUUGUGUAGGAAGCAAGUAACCAAUAAUAGCAAUGGGGGCGGGACUUGUCGACAAGCCGCGCAUGCGCAAACCUCCCGUACUCCACAGUGACAUCUGAAACAGCGCCGCCUAGUGAGGUAGGAUUUUUCCUUCAAAAAGGUUUUUGUUUAGAUAUUUUACUUUACAUACACAUAUUUAUAAAAUAACCUAAUUUCUAGUUUUAAGUGAAAUCACUGCCUUUUGUAGCACAAAAUAAGCAUUAAUGCACUUGGUGAAGAAAAAACCCUCCAAAAACCUCCAAAUAAGAUCUUCUACAUUUCAGUCUCUUAAUGAUCUAGGUGGAAAUUAAACAAACAAAGUAAUUAAUCAAUGAAAUAAUUGUAUUUUUUUGUUUUUAUUUACAUUAAUUUCUGUUUUUGGUAAAAGUUGGUUGUUGCAUCUUUUCUGUCGUCUUCAUGAACUUUUAUCCUUCUACAUCACUUCCUGCUUUUUUAAUUAACUUAUCAAUUAAUCAAUCAAUAGAAUUUUAUGAUAAAAAAAACAUUGUGUCUACAAAGAUAAAGAGACAUUCUAAAAGACAGUCUGUAAAACUCUGUCUGUUAAAUAAAACCUUAAAAAGGAAUGUUUAUUUUGACUUUGUCAAAUCAAACACACAAAAAUUACAUGGUUAUAUGAUGCUGGGUUUUUUUCCCAGCACAUAAACAAAUGACAGACCACAAUGAAAUGUUAUAAUUUCUGUAAAGCAUGCAGCUGAAGUUUUUCCUUUAAGUGUACAUAGACUGAGUAUAUUGAUUUUUUGCUUAAAGUGUACAUAGAAACCUGUAAAUACUGCGAAGGCAAUAUGCUAAGCUGAAGUGAUGGUAUUAUUUGAAUCUACAAUGAUGAGUAAUGAUUGCAUUCCGCACGGAGAGUGUUACAGUUUUAAUGCUUUAAAGACACUGAUUUGGUCCGGCUACUGUUAAAGUAAAACCCCAAGCACACUGAUUGUUGCUAUUCACAAUCCGGGGAG